rnacentral:lncRNA from 1 species
AAAUAAAUUUUGCGAUUUUUCGAUAUCAUUUGCCUAGUGAUCGAAGUAGCUCAAAAUCAACGGCUGAAAAUAAAAAUCUUACAAAAUAUGAUGAUAUGACAUUAAAAUUUUAGAUCAAAGUUAUUGAUCUUGUUUUAUAUGGUAUAAAGAAUUUUCUAUCAAAAUUUCAUGUGAUUUGGAUAUUUCUACACCGUUAAACUUGCAAAUGGCUAUUACGGCCAUUAAAAUUAUUGAUUUUGAGCACCUUCGAUCACUAGGCAAAUGAUAUUGAAAAAUCACAAAAUUUAUUUUCUCAGUACUUCAAAUACUCUAGAUCAACUCUAACAGAGCCGAUCGUCGAUUCGAAAGUCUGAACAUCGAAAAUAACUUGGAAGCACGGAGGGCUCCGUGCUUCCAGAAGCAUACCAGCCCACUCUCUCUCUCUCUCUCUCUCUCUCUCUCUCUCUCUAUAUAUAUAUAUAUAGUCCGGCUACUAUACUCUUAUAAGUACGAUCGCUCUCGUACUCAUAAGUUGUUUUCGAUGAUAGAGCUUUCGAAUCAAUGAUCCACACCGUUAAACGUUAUAUAGAGCAUUUAAAACUUUUAGAAAUCAAAUUUUAUAAUUUUUCGACAUCAUUUACCUUACGAUCAAAAGCUCACAAAAUUGGCAAUUUUUAACGGUCGGUAUGGGAUAUUUGUUAGUUUAACGGUGUAAAAGAAUUGGAAUAGGUUGAAUUUUUGAUAGAAAAUUCUAUUCACUACUUAGAUAAAGAUCAAUAACUCCGACCUUAAAUUGAAAGAUCCGAUCAUCCAUUUUUAGGACGUCGUUCGAUUUUGACCACUCAUUUCAUGCCCAUUUGAUGGACUUUAUUAUGAUUUCGAAAAAUUACGAAAUUUAUUUUUUAGAAGUUUCAAAUACUUUAGAUCAUAUUUAAUGGAGUGGAUCGUUGAUUCGGAAGCUCCAUCAUCGAGAACAACUUAUGAAUACGAAGGGCCCAAUACUCAUAAGAGUAUAGUAGUCUUACUAUAUAUAUAUAUAUAUAUAUAUAUAUAUAUAUAUAUA